rnacentral:rRNA from 1 species
GACGAACGCUGGCGGCGUGCUUAACACAUGCAAGUCGAACGGAAAGGCCCUGCUUUUGUGGGGUGCUCGAGUGGCGAACGGGUGAGUAACACGUGAAUAACCUGCCCUUGACUUUGGGAUAACUUCAGGAAACUGGGGCUAAUACCGGAUAGGAGCUCCUGCUGCAUGGUGGGGGUUGGAAAGUUUCGGCGGAGGGGGAUGGACUCGCGUCUUAUCAGCUUGUUGGGGGGAUAGUGGCUUACCAAGGCUUUGACGGGUCGCCGGCGUGAGAGGGUGGACGGACACAGGGAGACUGAGAUACGGCAGUUACUCAUACGGGAGGCAGGAGUGGAAAAUAUUGGACAGGGGGGACAACUCUGACAGAGCAGUUGUGUGUGGAAGAUGAAGGUUUUCGGAUUGUAAAGUGUUUGCAGCAGAGAAGAAAAGAAUGACGGUACCGGCAGAAGAAGCGACGGCUAAAUACGUG